GCAAAAACAAACAGCAAGUGAAAGAAGAGCGAGGUUACAGCCCAGCUGAGUGGGAUAUCCCAGCCAGGUGGAGCUGGCUGAGUGAAGCUUCAGAAAGCUGCCACCUUGGUGAGGAACCUGUGUGCUCCUCAUCCUCAUGGACGUGGCUCCCUUUGGGUUUUGUGCCAUGGUCUGGGAGGGUUUCACACAAGGGCCUUCUGUCAGGCUAUUUUGUCAGCCCCUGUCUGGGUCCCCUUCACCUUGCAGAGUUAAGGCCAAAAGUCCAAAGGACACUUUGACUGGAAGGGAAAGCAGUCAGGAUCUUUCAGGGACAGAGGUAUCUUAUGUUACCAGCAGCUGUGCUGGUUCAUAGGCUUCAUCAAAUUCAAAACCAGGCUGGUUAGCUGUUUUGAACUCCUGAUAGCAGCAAGGCUUGAUCACAACCCCAUAUUUCUGAACGACACCUAGGCUGGGUUUGAAGAUUUAAGUGAAAGAAAUCCACUUGUUUCUCUCUGGUUUUCCAAGAGGGCCAUUCCCUUAGAGAAGUCCAGAAUCUUCUCUAGGUAGAAGUUGCAAGGCCAUAUCCAGCUGGCUUCUAUGGGCAGCAAUUAAGUAAAAAUUACCAGGGUGCUGAGUGCUCCAGUGAAGCCUUAGUGCUCUGAUGAGCCUCACCUGGGUCCCCUCCCCACCCCUCUGCUCCAUUUCAGCUCAGUCCCUCACCAUCUUCCCUUCUUUGAGCCUGGGGCUACCUGUGGGCCUUACCUGGAGGAUUCAAGUUCAGUAGUUGUGUGCUGGGACUCAAAUCCUAUCAUUCUGUACGUGAGGUGUUACCUGGUGUCUGUGCUGUUCUGAGAAGAGGAGAAAAGGCGACCUGAGUUGAUUUGUGAUAAGUGAACUCCUUUUUGUUCUCAGUUCCUAUGUAAUAUUGCAAAUGUGAAGUUUGCAAGUGACUGCAGGCCCUCCUCAAAGGAUGAGAAAAGUAUUUCUUGUGCCAUGAGGAAAACUCGCUGUGGGGCGAAGUUGCUUUUACUUGAGUCUACUGAUUGACUGGCUAAAAUAAACUGCAGGCUUCAAAGUCAGCCGUGCUGCGAAGGACCCUGAGGAAACAAGACCAACCAGAAGAGACUGAAGGAAAGCAGCCAUCUACUCCUGACUGUGAGAUCUUUGGAAAACUAACUGCCCAAAGCUCUGAAGCUUUCAGCCUUCACGCUAACGCACGGGCCCAGCUGGCUGGAGAUUAAAGAGCGCCGUCUCAAACCAAAAAGCAUUUGAAAUUGCACCACUGAGCUGGCAGGAAAUUCCAGCUUUUUGUAGAUGUAGGAGGCGUUGGAACGGCGAGGAGCCAUAAGGCAACGUUCAGAGGUGAAUCGCAGCAUCAGCACCUCGCCAGGGGAGGCUGCCCCACCCCGAGCGCUGCACUCGGGCACGGGGGAACCGUCCACAGCCUUCCCAAAACAUUGGGGAGCUCUGGGGAGGAGGAGCAGCUUGGCUGGCAGCCGAGCUCCUGCUCCAGCUGUCUUCAUCUGCAGAAGAGGCCUCGUAAGGCUCGGGGUGAAUCCCAGCGCGGGGCUCAGCGCUGGCUUUUCGCGUGUGGAGUUUCCACCACCAUCAACUCCAGCGAGUCCCGGACGUGCCAAGAGAUCCCCAGAGCAGAUUUGGAUGUCUCUGUCCUGCCCAAGAUAAACAGGCCCUUUGCUUCUCGGACUGAAGUGCUCAUCGCCUCGGAAGAUAACGCAAAUUACCGGGCUCUUAGCUGCUUGGAAAGGAGUCGGUGCAGAUUGAUCGUAGAGAUUUGCCUUGAAGAAGCACGAAUGAUAGGAGAGCGAGAGGACUGCGUGGUUUUAGGGACCUUUCUCCUUUAUUUAGUGCAUGUGUGGGGAGAGAGGGCAUGAAAUGAGGCUGUCGGUGAGCGUCGAUCCUGAAAACCAUACAGAAAAUGAGCACGGUGGCUCUUUCCCUUCCGUUCCUACACAGGCUGCCAAAGAUUAUCACGCCGGUGACAAUGCUCGGAGGCAUCUCAAGAACUCGAGGCCUCCUGCGAAGCCGUUAGCACCAAAGGGAGGUGCCCCCCUCGCCCCCCGUGCUGAGCAGAGCUGGGACCGAGCCCUGCCAAGGCGAGUGGUGCAGAGCAGAAUCCGCGCUGACGACAGAUGGAACGAAUGUUAUGGACGCAUCCCAGGGCCGGGGCUGUUGCGCCACAUAAAUCAGUAGCACAACUUUGCCAGCUCCAAAUGCUUCGCAGGGCUGGACUUUCAGCCAGCUUCACGUCUGGCUUUGCAACCCCAAAACCGUAUGGUCAAAUUGCGAAUGCGCAUGCCCUCGCGUGAACCUCCAGCCCGUGAGGCUGUUUUCGGUCUGCCUCGUGUAGAUAAACGUGGCUAAAAAAAGCCAUCACCAAAAGAUAAUUCCUUGAUCUAAAUCCCAGCAUAUUCCUGUGCUCGUGGGCUGUGGAUGCUGCAGAUGAAGUGUGAGGUUCCAGGCUGCAGAUGCUGUCGGAGCUGCGCCGGUCGCUCGAAGCAUGUCGUGCUACCAACACCAGCCAAAGGUGAUGAAAUCCCAAAUAAUCGGAGUGGCCAAAAAAUAUUUCACGUUGCUCACCCUGCCUGCGUGCUGGUGGCCGGGCUGCUUCUUCGUGGGGAGAAGCUCAUAGCACACAAACAUCGCGUGUGAAAACUCGCUCCCGUCAUGAAAGCUGCUUCCCAUACACAGCAUAAAUCCCAAGUGCUUGUGAUUUAAGACAAAAAAAAAAAAAAAAGGCAAAUAAAAAGAUUUGCUGUUAAAAUUAUGACUUGGCAGCACCGUGUAUGUGCGUGGGGGGGAAGUGCCUGCAACCUUUUUAGAGGAAUACUUGCCCUUUGGAGAAUGAACUUCCAUUAAAGUAAAAAGGCUUCGCCCUUCUAGGUGGGAUUUUGGCAGCGUGGGGCGGAGGAAGGGCCCAACCGGCCGCUCCAGCUUUCUCACUCCAUUUCAGCCGUGACAAAAUGAAA